CAGCCGCCGCGGGAAAACGGAGGGGGCUAGCGUUGUUCGGAAUUACUGGGCGUAAAGCGUGCGCAGGCGGUUGUGUAAGACAGGUGUGAAAUCCCCGGGCUUAACCUGGGAACUGCGCUUGUGACUGCACAGCUAGAGUAUGGCAGAGGGGGGUGGAAUUCCACGUGUAGCAGUGAAAUGCGUAGAGAUGUGGAGGAACACCGAUGGCGAAGGCAGCCCCCUGGGCCAAUACUGACGCUCAUGCACGAAAGCGUGGGGAGCAAACAGGAUUAGAUACCCCAGUAGUCCCUGUCUCUUAUAC
rnacentral:rRNA from 1 species